rnacentral:rRNA from 1 species
AUGCCCCUGGACUUCACCAAGCACUUCCCCGUGGUGCCGGCGGAGUUCAAACCGAGGAACAACACCGGCUGCUUCUGGAGGGUGACAGUGAAGCUGAUGAACGGCAGGUUGACCCUAGAUCAGGGUUGGGCCACCUUCAUCGCCGUUCAUCAGAUCAAGAUCGGCUACAUGGUGACGUUCAAGCUCCUGACUCCUGACACCCUCAAGGUCAUCAUCUUCGACGAUGAUGGCAUUGAGGUGGUCAACAAGUGCGGGAAGCACGACGAAGCCUUCGCCGCCAGGGACUAG